rnacentral:rRNA from 1 species
AGAGUUUGAUCCUGGCUCAGGAUGAACGCUAGCUACAGGCUUAACACAUGCAAGUCGAGGGGCAUCACUGGGAUGGCUUGCCAUCCCUGGUGGCGACCGGCGCACGGGUGAGUAACGCGUAUCCAACCUGCCCCGAACCGCGGUAUAGCCCGCCGAAAGGCGGAUUAAUCCCGCAUGUGGUCGUGAGAUGACAUCUGACCACGACUAAAGGUAUUAUUCCGGUUCGGGAUGGGGAUGCGUCCGAUUAGGCAGCAGGCGGGGUAACGGCCCACCUGGCCAUCGAUCGGUAGGGGUUCUGAGAGGAAGGUCCCCCACAUUGGAACUGAGACACGGUCCAAACUCCUACGGGAGGCAGCAGUGAGGAAUAUUGGUCAAUGGGCGUCAGCCUGAACCAGCCAAGUAGCGUGUGGGACGACGGCCCUACGGGUUGUAAACCACUUUUUCGCGGGGAUAACAUCCGGGACUUGUCCCGGCUUGCAGGUACCGCGUGAAUAAGGACCGGCUAAUUCCGUGCC